rnacentral:rRNA from 1 species
UACGGAGGAUGCGAGCGUUAUCCGGAUUUAUUGGGUUUAAAGGGUGCGUAGGCGGGCUGUUAAGUCAGCGGUCAAAUGUCGGGGCUCAACCCCGGCCCGCCGUUGAAACUGGCUGGCUUGAGUUGGGGAAAGGCAGGCGGAAUGCGCGGUGUAGCGGUGAAAUGCAUAGAUAUCGCGCAGAACCCCGAUUGCGAAGGCAGCGUACCGGCGCCCAACUGACGCUGAGGCACGAAAGCGUGGGUAUCGAACAGG